rnacentral:rRNA from 1 species
GACGAACGCUGGCGGCGUGCUUAACACAUGCAAGUCGAACGGAAAGGCCCUGCUUUUGUGGGGUGCUCGAGUGGCGAACGGGUGAGUAACACGUGAGUAACCUGCCCUUGACUUUGGGAUAACUUCAGGAAGCUGGGGCUAAUACCGGAUAGGAGCUCCUGCUGCAUGGUGGGGGUUGGAAAGUUUCGGUGGUUGGGGAUGGACUCGCGGCUUAUCAGCUUGUUGGUGGGGUAGUGGCUUACCAAGGCUUUGACGGGUAGCCGGCCUGAGAGGGUGACCGGCCACAUUGGGACUGAGAUACGGCCCAGACUCCUACGGGAGGCAGCAGUGGGGAAUAUUGCACAAUGGGCGGAAGCCUGAUGCAGCAACGCCGCGUGCGGGAUGACGGCCUUCGGGUUGUAAACCGCUUUCGCCUGUGACGAAGCGUGAGUGACGGUAAUGGGUAAAGAAGCACCGGCUAACUACGUG